rfam:Stachybotrys chartarum IBT 40288 unplaced genomic scaffold scaffold279, whole genome shotgun sequence.
UCCGAUGUGGUCUAACGGUUAGGAUAGUGCGCUUUCAAUGGGUCCGCCCUGGAAGAUCCGCAUUGGCCGGGGUUCGACUCCCCGCAUCGGAG